CUGCAGUGGCCUAUUUGAAGACCUCGGGGAUCAAUGGAGCCAUACAUUGCAAUUUUGUUCUAGGCAAGGCAAAGCUAACACUAAAACCUGCACAUACCAUACCCAGACUUGAACUUUGUGCAGCCGUGCAAGCCGUGGAAAUAGCCGAAGUCAUAAAGAGUGAAAUGGAAAUUAAAAUCGAUUCCUUCACAUUUUACACAGACGGUAAGAUAGUGCUUGGAUACAUCUACAACCAAAC